rnacentral:lncRNA from 1 species
AUCUUUGACAGCCGAUCUGUUUAUCCUCAAAAGAAUCUUUGGCAGCCGAUCGUUGACCACUCGUUUUAUAGAUUGUCACUUCUAUGAGACAAUCUUCCCGUCAUUAGGGAGAGAUAAGAACGUCAUUAUUCCUGAAGAAUGAUGUGAAUUAUUGGGGACAACUCCCACUUUGUCUCAUUUAGAUCCGCACACGGCUUAAUGUUAAACUGAAGUGCAGCGCAUAUUAGAUCUUUAGAGUAUAGCUCAAAUGACACACCCCAACCUAGGAAGGUCGAAGCAUGUUGGCCAUCACCGUGAGGUGAUGUAACCAUAAGGGUAAGUGAUGUGAAAAAGUGGAUAAAUUUAAAACUAAUUAGAACUAAUUAUACUAAACAGUGAAAAAGUGCACAAUCGUGGGAAUAACCCACUACAAUUAUUCAGAGCAUAAUAGACAGUACGACUACUGAAGAAUGGUCCAAAGCAGCUAAAGUACACAUAUUACACAACAGCGGAUAAGUUCAUACUUCUAAACCAAAGAGAAUGUCAAAACUGUUGAGAUUCCUCGAAUGCCACAAAGAGUACAACUAUCUAGGUCCUGGA